ACAAACUAAUGUGACUGAACAGCACUAUAAAGCAUGAAAGCUUUGGAAAUUUAUAUUUUAGUUGUAUAUAUAAACAAAAUAAGUAGAUUAAAAAAAGUUUUGUUAUUAAUAUAAAACAACCUUUCUGGAGACAAACCAGUAAGAGCAAAAACAAUAACUAAACUAACCUAACAAAGUACAACUUGCAUUUUCUUCUAUAAAUAAUAUCUAAUGUACUGCAAACAAUAAGUGAAAUACUUUUAAAAGAACAAAAGGGCAUUUUUUUGUGACGGAUGGACUUUUCCUUUUGAAAGUUUCCAUGGUGGUAACUCAUUCUGGCUCACCCAGUCCCACCGUGGAGGCUAAAGGUUGGCUAGUUGCUACACAGCCGUGCAAACAGACCACUGGAGAGCGACGAGAGUUAAAGCAUUGCUCACCUCCAUGGGGUAGAUGGCGGUUUGUGCCGAGGCUCCAGCCAGUGAUCCUGCUAUGAAUCUCUCGUGCGUCUUGACUUUCCCCGAGUCGCUGGACAGCAGCUUCUUAUACUGGCUGCAGCCCGUUCCUAGGAAGUCUUUACCUGCUCAUAAGCCAUGAAUUUAAUGGCCGUCUCUGGGGCGAUCUUUAAGACGUUAAUGCCGUUUCCUCUCCACAAGGACGUCACGCCUCCUUCCUUCAACAUUUGCUUAAAACCGCUCACCAGGCUAAUUUUAUUGCUGUUUGAGGCAUGGACCUAAAAAAAAGAAUUAAAAAAUGUAAAAUUUUGUGGUAAAAUAUUAAAUACGAUAACAGAAACUUAGACAGUAGACCGACCUGCAUGAAGACUUUCAUUCUGUCCAGAGGAGCGGUCCCUGUGCGGGACACGGCGCCUGCGGCGGCGCCCGCCAUCAGCUGCUUCCACCACAUACCGGUGGUUUUCUCCUCUUCUGUGAACUCAUCUGGGAUGGAAAGGCUGUCACCAAUGUCCAGAACCUACAUUUGAGACGGUAACUUACUGACACAUCAAAAUUAAAUCUUCCCACAAGCUUGA